rnacentral:rRNA from 1 species
UACAGAGGUGGCAAGCGUUGUUCGGAAUUACUGGGCGUAAAGGGCGCGUAGGCGGCCUACUAAGUCAGACGUGAAAUCCCCCGGCUUAACCUGGGAACUGCGUCUGAUACUGGAAGGCUUGAGGAUGGGAGAGGGAUGUAGAAUUCCAGGUGUAGCGGUGAAAUGCGUAGAUAUCUGGAGGAAUACCGGUGGCGAAGGCGGCAUCCUGGACCAUUACUGACGCUGAGGCGCGAAAGCUAGGGGAGCAGACGGG